ensembl:lncRNA
CCCUAACAGUUUCCACUUGCCCCAUUUUGCUUCCUCCUCACAUCAUAUAACCCUCUGUACUUCCAAGCAUUAGCAGGCUAGUAACCAUGACAACUGAAGCAGGUAUAACAUGGACAAAACACAGUUGUAAGACUUCAGACCCAAAAAGAGGAACUGAGCACACAGCUGCUCUUGCCUGCUGAUGGACUGAUAGAAGAGGAGUCUUCAUCAAACAUCUUUCUGAUUUUCUUUAGAAAAAAAUAAUGAUUAGAUGAUGGAGGUCAGCUGUGACACCACACCCUGAACCAGCUACUCCACCUCUCCCCUGCAGCUGAGACAAAAAAGACACCUCAGUACAUACCCCCA